AAUAUGCAAGUAGGUCACCGCAGCACAGGAAGGGCCUUGUACAGCAGAAAACAACCACAGGGCCACCAGGGAUGGAGCUACACAAGGAAUGCAGUGGCACGCACUGGUUUCAAGGCUGGCUCUGCAUGAGCAACACAGCUCAACAGAUAACACCUCUGAAGCAUGAAGUGUUACCCACACCGCAGUGAAUGGCUGGCCAACUGUGCGAUGCUGCUCAGCCAUUUUGGCACCCAGAGGCCAAGUCAGCCUCAUGCAGGGCCUGGGGGCAGACACAGCACCCCAGUCUGCUCUGUUGAGCCAGGGAACCCAGAGAGAAUAAGCUGGUCUUGUGCAGGAGCUGGUCGCUGGUGUUUGCAGACUGUCAAAACCUGGCCCUACUAACAUGCAAAAUGCUCUCCUCCAUCUUAGUUUUGACCUGAGAUUUCGGGAGCUGAGUUUGUGAACUGCCUCGUAGGUCUAGAAAAGGCAAGCCUGCGUAUUGGCAAAACCACCACAAUGUCUCGGAGCAGGCAGUCAGGGGCCAGGCCGGCAUGUCCCCCUCUGCCUGACUGCGGAUCCAGGAGGUGUUUUGCCCGUGGCUCCUUGCAGAACUGUCAAGAAGCAGCCAAGAUCUCACCAAACUGCACCCCACAAAAUAAGCUGGGGCUUUGCCUUUCAAUUCUGCUCUGCUCGUGGAGUCCUCAGAAUAACUCCUGCAGUUACAGAGCUGUGGCCGUGUGGGGUCAGCACCCAGACUCGAGGUUCGGACCAGAGCCAAAGCACGGGGCGUAUUGACAAGCUGGAAUAGCUUUCAGCCUUUGCAGAUCGUGGUUAUUUUUGAAGAAGAGCUAAGCCUAGGAAGUUUUGGAUGCAAAUCAAUCAUUCUCGGAGGAGCUGAGCGCAGCCAAAGCACUUGCACUUGUUGAGUAUGUGCCAGCAGCCCUCUGGGGGCCGAGGCAACAUUAUGCGCCAUUUAAUAACGGCACAUACGGUUGAAGAAAAGAAGUUACCUGGUACGUGGCGAGAAGCUUUCCUGUGUUCUCGCCUCAGCAACCUGCGAGGAAGGGGAAUGGCUGGUCAAUGGAAACACAGCAUUUGGAAAGGUGUGUGUUUGCUGCUAAUCAAAACUCAUUUCAUGGGCUCCAGCUGGUGGCAUCACAAAUGGGAGGAGGGCUCCUGCAGCAUGGUAGCUAAGCUCUUCCUUUGCAGAAAAUUCCGAUCAGAAAGAAUCCGAGAAAAAUACUUGAGGAAAGGUCACUCUACCAAACUUCUUUGAAACUCGGAUAAAAGAAUAAUGAUAAUUCCAUUGUAGAGCAGUGACAGAUGCUUUAAUUCAAUCCCAUAAAACAGAGCCUCUCCACAGGACUUCUCAACCACAGACCACACAGAGGCUGGCCCACCCACGCCAAACGUGGGAAGUUUCUGUACUGGGAGAGGUGAUGAUGGUGGCACCUCGAGCUGCCUGUGCUGCACAGCCAAUGCCAACCUGUCAGCAUGGUGAAAAAGGACGCGAUGAUUUUUUUAGGGUGAUGGUAGGUGAAAACUGCAUGGACAGGGGGAUGCUGAGGAAAAAUGAUUCUAUUCCAGAAGUGUGAUAGAAAGCUUUAAAUAAAGUAAGUAAAUAGCAGCUGCUUUAGACCUAC
ensembl:lncRNA